rnacentral:rRNA from 1 species
GACGAACGCUGGCGGCGUGCCUAAUACAUGCAAGUCGAGCGGACAGAAGGGAGCUUGCUCCCGGAUGUUAGCGGCGGACGGGUGAGUAACACGUGGGUAACCUGCCUGUAAGACUGGGAUAACUCCGGGAAACCGGAGCUAAUACCGGAUAGUUCCUUGAACCGCAUGGUUCAAGGAUGAAAGACGGUUUCGGCUGUCACUUACAGAUGGACCCGCGGCGCAUUAGCUAGUUGGUGGGGUAAUGGCUCACCAAGGCGACGAUGCGUAGCCGACCUGAGAGGGUGAUCGGCCACACUGGGACUGAGACACGGCCCAGACUCCUACGGGAGGCAGCAGUAGGGAAUCUUCCGCAAUGGACGAAAGUCUGACGGAGCAACGCCGCGUGAGUGAUGAAGGUUUUCGGAUCGUAAAGCUCUGUUGUUAGGGAAGAACAAGUGCGAGAGUAACUGCUCGCACCUUGACGGUACCUAACCAGAAAGCCACGGCUAACUACGUGCCAGCAGCCGCGGUAAUACGUAGGUGGCAAGCGUUGUCCGGAAUUAUUGGGCGUAAAGGGCUCGCAGGCGGUUUCUUAAGUCUGAUGUGAAAGCCCCCGGCUCAACCGGGGAGGGUCAUUGGAAACUGGGAAACUUGAGUGCAGAAGAGGAGAGUGGAAUUCCACGUGUAGCGGUGAAAUGCGUAGAGAUGUGGAGGAACACCAGUGGCGAAGGCGACUCUCUGGUCUGUAACUGACGCUGAGGAGCGAAAGCGUGGGGAGCGAACAGGAUUAGAUACCCUGGUAGUCCACGCCGUAAACGAUGAGUGCUAAGUGUUAGGGGGUUUCCGCCCCUUAGUGCUGCAGCUAACGCAUUAAGCACUCCGCCUGGGGAGUACGGUCGCAAGACUGAAACUCAAAGGAAUUGACGGGGGCCCGCACAAGCGGUGGAGCAUGUGGUUUAAUUYGAAGCAACGCGAAGAACCUUACCAGGUCUUGACAUCCUCUGACAACCCUAGAGAUAGGGCUUUCCCUUCGGGGACAGAGUGACAGGUGGUGCAUGGUUGUCGUCAGCUCGUGUCGUGAGAUGUUGGGUUAAGUCCCGCAACGAGCGCAACCCUUGAUYUUAGUUGCCAGCAUUCAGUUGGGCACUCUAAGGUGACUGCCGGUGACAAACCGGAGGAAGGUGGGGAUGACGUCAAAUCAUCAUGCCCCUUAUGACCUGGGCUACACACGUGCUACAAUGGACAGAACAAAGGGCUGCAAGACCGCAAGGUUUAGCCAAUCCCAUAAAUCUGUUCUCAGUUCGGAUCGCAGUCUGCAACUCGACUGCGUGAAGCUGGAAUCGCUAGUAAUCGCGGAUCAGCAUGCCGCGGUGAAUACGUUCCCGGGCCUUGUACACACCGCCCGUCACACCACGAGAGUUUGCAACACCCGAAGUCGGUGAGGUAACCUUUAUGGAGCCAGCCGCCGAAGGUGGGGCAGAUGAUUGGGGUGAAGUCGUAACAAGGUAGCCGUAUCGGAAGG